rnacentral:rRNA from 1 species
UGUUUAUAUAUAUAUAAAGUAUGACCUGCCCACUGAUUUAUUUGAAGGGCCGCGGUAACCUGACCGUGCAAAGGUAGCAUAAUCAUUAGUUUCUUAAUUAGAGGCUGGAAUGAAUGGUUGGACGAAAUAUGAGCUAUCUCAUUAUUUUUAUUAGAAUUUAAUUAUUAAGUAAAAAAGCUUAAAUAUUGUUAUGGGACGAGAAGACCCUAUAGAGUUUAAUAUUAUAAUUUUUAGAUUAGUUUUGUUUCGCAAUAUUAAUUAUAAUUUUUUGUUGGGGUGACAGGAAGAUAUAAAUAACUCUUUUUAUUGAUAAAUAUUAAUUUAUAGAAUUUUGAUCCAUUUAUAAUGAUUAUAAGACUAAAUUACCUUAGGGAUAACAGCGUAAUCUUUUUUGAGAGUUCUUAUCAAUAAAAGGGGUUGCGACCUCGAUGUUGGAUUAAGAUUAACAUUAGGUGUAGAAGUUUAAUUUGUUAGGUCUGUUCGACCUUUAAAAU